rnacentral:rRNA from 1 species
GUGAACGCUGGCGGUAGGCCUAACACAUGCAAGUCGAACGGCAGCACAGUAAGAGCUUGCUCUUACGGGUGGCGAGUGGCGGACGGGUGAGGAAUACAUCGGAAUCUACUUUUUCGUGGGGGAUAACGUAGGGAAACUUACGCUAAUACCGCAUACGACCUACGGGUGAAAGCAGGGGAUCUUCGGACCUUGCGCGAUUGAAUGAGCCGAUGUCGGAUUAGCUAGUUGGCGGGGUAAAGGCCCACCAAGGCGACGAUCCGUAGCUGGUCUGAGAGGAUGAUCAGCCACACUGGAACUGAGACACGGUCCAGACUCCUAUGGGAGGCAGCAGUGGGGAAUAUUGGACAAAGGGCGCAAGCCUGAUCCGGCCAUACCGCGUGGGUGAAGAAGGCCUUCGGGUUGUAAAGCCCUUUUGUUGGGAAAGAAAAGCAGCAGGUUAAUACCCCGCUGUUCUGACGGUACCCAAAGAAUAAGCACCGGCUAACUUCGUG